CCUUAGAGAACAACCAAGUUUGUUAUUGGUAUGAGCUUUCGUGUGCAUGCACAUGAAAGCUCAUACCAAUAACAAACUUAGUUGGUCUCUAAGG